CAAGAGACACAACCCUCAGAUUGACUGGGAGGGUGGAGAAAUCGUUUCUUGGGGUAUGGGUUGUAGGAAAGAAUGUCUGCAGAGAGUUACUUCUGUUUGCCCCGUAAACUCUUAUACUAACUCUUCCCAAUCCACAGACGUUCAGAUACCAUUACAAUAUCUAGACCUCCAAUCUGUAUUUGACAAGGGUAAGGCGGAUACUUUACCUCCCCACCGGUCUUAUGACUGUUCUAUUAAACUUUUCCCUGGUACUAUGCCUCCCAGGAGUACGGUAUACCCUUU